rnacentral:rRNA from 1 species
GAUGAACGCUGGCGGCGUGCCUAGUACAUGCAAGUCGAGCGAACAGACGAGGAGCUUGCUCCUCUGACGUUAGCGGCGGACGGGUGAGUAACACGUGGAUAACCUACCUAUAAGACUGGGAUAACUUCGGGAAACCGGAGCUAAUACCGGAUAAUAUAUUGAACCGCAUGGUUCAAUAGUUAAAGACGGUUUUGCUGUCACUUAUAGAUGGAUCCGCGCCGCAUUAGCUAGUUGGUAAGGUAACGGCUUACCAAGGCAACGAUGCGUAGCCGACCUGAGAGGGUGAUCGGCCACACUGGAACUGAGACACGGUCCAGACUCCUACGGGAGGCAGCAGUAGGGAAUCUUCCGCAAUGGGCGAAAGCCUGACGGAGCAACGCCGCGUGAGUGAUGAAGGUCUUCGGAUCGUAAAACUCUGUUAUUAGGGAAGAACAAAUGUGUAAGUAACUAUGCACGUCUUGACGGUACCUAAUCAGAAAGCCACGGCUAACUACGUG